rnacentral:lncRNA from 1 species
ACAGAUCAUCUACUCGAAGCUUUGAUCGGAUCUUCCUUCGUAGGAGUGCUAGCUCGCGAUGAAGGCUUUGGAUGGCUGAUCCAAGCUCCUUUCUUCGAAUCUCUCAAACUCCUCAGGAUAAAAAGAUGAAGCUAUAUGAGAAGGUGGUGGUGUGUAAGAUUGGACAAGACUCACUUUUGUAUUUUUUCUCUCACAAAACCUAGAGAUGAAACCCUAGAACCCACAGCUCAC